rnacentral:rRNA from 1 species
GACGAACGCUGGCGGCGUGCUUAACACAUGCAAGUCGAACGGAAAGGCCCUGCUUUUGUGGGGUGCUCGAGUGGCGAACGGGUGAGUAACACGUGAGUAACCUGCCCUUGACUUUGGGAUAACUUCAGGAAACUGGGGCUAAUACCGGAUAGGAGCUCCUGCUGCAUGGUGGGGGUUGGAAAGUUUCGGCGGUUGGGGAUGGACUCGCGGCUUAUCAGCUUGUUGGUGGGGUAGUGGCUUACCAAGGCUUUGACGGGUAGCCGGCCUGAGAGGGUGACCGGCCACAUUGGGACUGAGAUACGGCCCAGACUCCUACGGGAGGCAGCAGUGGGGAAUAUUGCACAAUGGGCGGAAGCCUGAUGCAGCAACGCCGCGUGCGGGAUGACGGCCUUCGGGUUGUAAACCGCUUUCGCAUGUGACGAAGCGUGAGUGACGGUAAUGGGUAAAGAAGCACCGGCUAACUACG